rnacentral:rRNA from 1 species
GACGAACGCUGGCGGCGUGCUUAACACAUGCAAGUCGAACGGAAAGGCCCUGCUUUUGUGGGGUGCUCGAGUGGCGAACGGGUGAGUAACACGUGAGUAACCUGCCCUUGACUUUGGGAUAACUUCAGGAAACUGGGGCUAAUACCGGAUAGGAGCUCCUGCUGCAUGGUGGGGGUUGGAAAGUUUCGGCGGUUGGGGAUGGACUCGCGGCUUAUCAGCUUGUUGGUGGGGUAGUGGCUUACCAAGGCUUUGACGGGUAGCCGGCCUGAGAGGGUGACCGGAGACAGGGGGAGAGAGAGAGGGGGGAGAGGGCGAGGGGAGGAAGGGGGGGGGAGGAGUGCGCGGGGGGCGGAAGAGUGAUGCAGGUGGGGAGGGUGGGGGAGGGAGGCAUGGGGGGUGUAAAACGAGUUCGCGUGUGAGGCGGGGGGGGGGGCGGUAAGGGGGAAAGAAGAGAAGGCGAACUACG